rnacentral:rRNA from 1 species
AUUGAACGCUGGCGGCAGGCCUAACACAUGCAAGUCGAACGCGUGGCGGACGGGUGAGUAAUGUCUGGGAAACUGCCUGAUGGAGGGGGAUAACUACUGGAAACGGUAGCUAAUACCGCAUACCAUCAGAUGUGCCCAUAGGGGAUUAGCUAGUUGGUGGGGUAAAGGCUCACCAAGGCGACGAUCCCUAGCUGGUCUGAGAGGAUGACCAUGCACACGGGAACUGAGACACGGUGCAGACUCCUACGGGAGGCAGCAGUGGGGAAUAUUGCAAAAUGGGCGCAAGCCGGAUGCAGCCAUGCCGCGUGUAUGAAGAAGGCAUUAGGGUUGUAAAGUACUUUCAGCGGGGAGGCGUUACCCGCAGAAGAAGCACCGGCUAACUCCGUGCCAGCAGCCGCGGUAAUAC